rnacentral:lncRNA from 1 species
AUGAAGCACUAAUAUUAUUCACUUUUUACAUUUUUCUUAAUACAAAAUUAAUUGUGUUCUUGUCUUUAAUAAUAAGUUAUGAAUAUUGUGUAAUUGUGAUGUGUGGGAUAUUGUCAAAAAAGCUCUGAAAAAAAGGUGUAUAGAAAACCUUACUCUAGAUCCAUUUUUGGUGUAAUAGUGGAAGUUAUUAUUCAGAAAAAGAAACAAAAGAAG